rnacentral:rRNA from 1 species
UGUUCCCAUACCGAACACAGAAGUUAAGCUCUUUAGCGGCAAUGGUACUUGGUGGGCGACCGCCUGGGAGAGUAGCACGUAGCCACGU